rnacentral:rRNA from 1 species
CGGUGAGUAACACGUGGAUAACCUACCUAUAAGACUGGGAUAACUUCGGGAAACCGGAGCUAAUACCGGAUAAUAUUUUGAACCGCAUGGUUCAAAAGUAAAAGACGGUCUUGCUGUCACUUAUAGAUGGAUCCGCGCUGCAUUAGCUAGUUGGUAAGGUAACGGCUUACCAAGGCAACGAUGCAUAGCCGACCUGAGAGGGUGAUCGGCCACACUGGAACUGAGACACGGUCCAG